rnacentral:rRNA from 1 species
GACGAACGCUGGCGGCGUGCUUAACACACGCAAGUCGAACGGUAAGGCCCUUCGGGGUACACGAGUGGCGAACGGGUGAGUAACACGUGGGUGAUCUGCCCUGCACUUCGGGAUAAGCCUGGGAAACUGGGUCUAAUACCGGAUAGGACCACUGCCUACAUGGGUGGUGGUGGGAAGCUUUUGCGGUGUGGGAUGGGCCCGCGGCCUAUCAGCUUGUUGGUGGGGUGAUGGCCUACCAAGGCGACGACGGGUAGCCGGCCGGAGAGGGUGACCGGCCACACUGGGACUGAGAUACGGCCCAGACUCCUACGGGAGGCAGCAGUGGGGAAUAUUGCACAAUGGGCGCAAGCCUGAUGCAGCGACGCCGCGUGAGGGAUGACGGCCUUCGGGUUGUAAACCUCUUUCAGCACCGACGAAGCGCAAGUGACGGUAGGUGUAGAAGAAGGACCGGCCAACUACGUGCCAGCCGCCGCGGUAA